UGAACGCUAGCUACAGGCUUAACACAUGCAAGUCGAGGGGCAGCAUGGUCUUAGCUUGCUAAGGCCGAUGGCGACCGGCGCACGGGUGAGUAACACGUAUCCAACCUGCCGUCUACUCUUGGACAGCCUUCUGAAAGGAAGAUUAAUACAAGAUGGCAUCAUGAGUCCGCAUGUUCACAUGAUUAAAGGUAUUCCGGUAGACGAUGGGGAUGCGUUCCAUUAGAUAGUAGGCGGGGUAACGGCCCACCUAGUCUUCGAUGGAUAGGGGUUCUGAGAGGAAGGUCCCCCACAUUGGAACUGAGACACGGUCCAAACUCCUACGGGAGGCAGCAGUGAGGAAUAUUGGUCAAUGGGCGAGAGCCUGAACCGGCCAAGUAGCGUGAAGGAUGACUGCCCUAUGGGUUGUAAACUUCUUUUAUAAAGGAAUAAAGUCGGGUAUGGAUACCCGUUUGCAUGUACUUUAUGAAUAAGGAUCGGCUAACUCCGUGCCAGCAGCCGCGGUAAUACGGAGGAUCCGAGCGUUAUCCGGAUUUAUUGGGUUUAAAGGGAGCGUAGAUGGAUGUUUAAGUCAGUUGUGAAAGUUUGCGGCUCAACCGUAAAAUUGCAGUUGAUACUGGAUAUCUUGAGUGCAGUUGAGGCAGGCGGAAUUCGUGGUGUAGCGGUGAAAUGCUUAGAUAUCACGAAGAACUCCGAUUGCGAAGGCAGCCUGCUAAGCUGCAACUGACAUUGAGGCUCGAAAGUGUGGGUAUCAAACAGGAUUAGAUACCCUGGUAGUCCACACGGUAAACGAUGAAUACUCGCUGUUUGCGAUAUACAGCAAGCGGCCAAGCGAAAGCGUUAAGUAUUCCACCUGGGGAGUACGCCGGCAACGGUGAAACUCAAAGGAAUUGACGGGGGCCCGCACAAGCGGAGGAACAUGUGGUUUAAUUCGAUGAUACGCGAGGAACCUUACCCGGGCUUAAAUUGCAGAUGAAUUACGGUGAAAGCCGUAAGCCGCAAGGCAUCUGUGAAGGUGCUGCAUGGUUGUCGUCAGCUCGUGCCGUGAGGUGUCGGCUUAAGUGCCAUAACGAGCGCAACCCUUGUUGUCAGUUACUAACAGGUUCCGCUGAGGACUCUGACAAGACUGCCAUCGUAAGAUGUGAGGAAGGUGGGGAUGACGUCAAAUCAGCACGGCCCUUACGUCCGGGGCUACACACGUGUUACAAUGGGGGGUACAGAGGGCCGCUACCACGCGAGUGGAUGCCAAUCCCCAAAACCUCUCUCAGUUCGGACUGGAGUCUGCAACCCGACUCCACGAAGCUGGAUUCGCUAGUAAUCGCGCAUCAGCCACGGCGCGGUGAAUACGUUCCCGGGCCUUGUACACACCGCCCGUCAAGCCAUGGGAGCCGGGGGUACCUGAAGUGCGUAACCGCGAGGAGCGCCCUAGGGUAAAACUGGUGACUGGGGCUAA
rnacentral:rRNA from 1 species